CUGAUCAAAGAUUAAAAAUUAAUUAAAUAGGUGCAAUAAAUUAAUUGUACAAAGGUAGGAUAAUAAUUUGGUUUUUUAUUAAAAUCUUGAAUGAAUGAUUAAAUGAAAUAAAAACUGUCUCAAUUUAAUUAAAUUUAAAAAUUUUUUUUUGGGGUAAAAAAAAAAAUUUUUUUUAAAAGGCGAGAAGACCCUAUAGGAUUUUAUAUAAUAAAAAUAAUUAUAUUAUUAAAAUUAAAUUAUAAUAAAUUAUAUUUAAUUGGGGUAAUUUAAAAAAUAAAAAAAUUUUUUUUUAAUAUUUACAUAAAUAAAUGAAAUAAAUUAAUAAAUAAAUAAUAUUUAAAUAAAAUAAAUUACCUUAGGGAUAACAGCGUUAUUUUUUUUAGAUAGAUCAUAUUGAUACAAAAGAUUGCGACCUCGAUGUUGAAUUA
rnacentral:rRNA from 1 species